rnacentral:rRNA from 1 species
AGCUCCAAUAGCGUAUGCUAAAGUUGUUGCAGUUAAAAAGCUCGUAGUUGGAUUGAACCAGUUUGCCGAGGGGCAGUACUAGAAAUGGUGCAGUCAGGUAGGGAAAUUGGAGAUAGAUUGCUGCAGAGGUCAAAGUCUGUGGCAAGGUUUACUUUGAGUAAAUUAGAGUGAUUCAAGCAACCUCUUGGGGUUUUGAAUAUUUUAGCAUGGGAUAAUAGAAUGAUCAAUUUAGGCAGUAGAGUGAAUGAUUGGUGAAUAAAUUGAUAAUGGUUAAUAGGAGCAGUUGGGGGCAUUUGUAUUUCGUUGCUAGAGGUGAAAUUCUUGGAUUUACGAAAGACAAACUUAUGCGAAAGCAUUUGUCAAACAUGUUUUCA